AUAUGGGUGACACAUUAUAUCCUCUGAAGGUGGUUUGUUUAUUACAGUAAGUUAAUGACAAACACAUUCAAACGACUGAACUCUCUCAUCUCAAGAGGUAUAAAUUGCUUUCUAAUUGCUGCCUUCAGUCAGUCCCUGUCAAAUUUCCCACACCUCCUAUAAUUUUCCAAUGCCUAGCAGGUACUCAGAGUCCAGACAGUUCAGAUACAAGGUAAACCGUUGCCCACUCCCAUGGCCAGCUGUGGUUAGCCAUAGGACACUUAAUAGGAAGGGGUGUGUGUGGCCACCUCUGGAUCACCACCUUCCACCUCUUCGGGAUCUCACACCUCUCAUGUUGCGUUGUGAGAGGAAUUAGGGAAAAGAGCUAAGAUUUCUCUACCUAAAGGGCCACUGCUUGUCAUUUCCUCUCAGACCAACACCAACUGGCUUUUCUAAAAAGUAAGGUAUAUUUACUUAUAACAAAGCUCACCAAUUUUAAGUGUACAAUUCAGUGAGUUUUGACAAAUGGACAUUUCUGGAAAACCACCACCACCACAAUUUUGAUCUAGAAUAUUCAUUCCCACCUCCACCCUGAAUUCACUUUGGUCUCCUUUGCAGCCAAUUCUCCUUCUGCAACCCACAACCCCUCACUACUGAUCUGCUUUCUGUCACAAUGCUUUGUCUUUUCAGAAUUUCAUUAUCAAUGGAAUUUUACAGUAGGUAGCCUCUGGUAUCUGGCUUCUUCCACCCAGCCCAGCAAUAUUCAGAUUCAUCAUAUUGUUGCAUGUAUCAGUAGUUUGUUCCUGUUUUUGCUGAAUAAUAUAUUUCAUUGUAUGGAUCUAUCAUAAUUUAUUUACCUAAUCACUAACUGAUAGACAUCUAGAUUGUUAGUUUUUGACUAUUACUAAUAAUGCUAUGAACAUUUCAGUACAUUUUAGUGUAAGUCUAGUGUGGACAUGUUUUCAUUUCUGUUGGGUAAGUAAAUAAGGGGAUUGCUGGGUUGAAUGCUAAGUAUGUGGCAACUUCCUAAGAAUCUACCAAAAUGUUUCCAGUUGUUUGUACCAUUUUGCACUCUUACUAAUAAUGAAUGAGAAUUCCAGUUGCUUCACAUCCUCAUCAACAGUUGCUGUUGUCAGUCUUUUAAAUUUUGGCCACUUAGGUGCACAUGUGGUUUGGUGGUGUCUCACCGCGGCUUUGUGUUUCCCUGAUGGCAGAUGGUGGCUGAGCAUCUCUCACGUGCUUGUGUGCCACCCGUACCAUCUUCUUUGGUGAAGUAUCUGUUCUGUUCAUAGUUUUAUUACAGGGUUGAGUAAGUUCUUGUUAUAUUCUGGAUAGAAGUCCUUUAUCAGAUAUGUGUUCUGAUUUCCUCCUGGCCCAUGGCUUCCCUUUUGUUUUCUUAACAGGGUCUUUAUGAAAAUUAAUUUUCUUCAGGUUUAUUGAAGUAUAAUUUGCAUAAGUAACAUUCACCCUUUUUAGAUUAGAGUCCCACAAAAAUCUACCACCACAAUCAAGGUAUGAAAUAUUUCCAUCAUCCUCCCUCAACUCCCCCGUACUCUUAUGGGGCAGGUGUGGUCCUGCAGUCCAUUAACAAGCUCUGCGUGUUUAUAUGUCUGGGGUUCUCUUUGCUGUGCAAAAUACUAAAUGCCUCUGGGCCAUCUUUGUGCCCUGACUCAUAAAUUCUAGGGUAACAGGAAAAGGCCCAUUAAACAUCCUGUUACACACAGCUCUAAUAAAACAGUCAUAAUAACACCAAAAGGCUCAUAAAGUCCUUGCCAGGCACCAACCGCAUGCUCUGCAUGUGCUAGCCCAUUUGAUCCUCAGAACAGCCCGCCUUGGGAACUGUGGUCGCCGACCCUUUUCCAACUGAGGAAACUGAGGCACAGAAGAGGGGAGGUACACCGCCGAGCUCCCAGGGCCAGGGAGCCCAUGGCUGCAAUGCAGACGCGGGGCGUCCGGCUGGGGUCCGCGUUGCCAGGCACCAUGUGUUGGCCUUCCUGGCCCGCAGGGCGCGGGGAAGCUGCACCCGCACUGCCGGCCUUUCGGGCUGUGCUGCUGGUUGAAAUGGACGAAUCCCAAACCCCAGGGCGGGGGAGAUCGCUGAGCCGGCAGGGUGCACUGAAUCCCUACAGAUGCGGCCAGAGGAAGGGCGGAGAGCUGGGGCGGAAAAUUUCUGCUUCACGAGCCGCACGGCCAGUUCGCAGACACCUUGUCCGCCCGACUCAAGAAACAGGUCACUUCAUGAGGGGUCUCAGGGCGAGGAAGCUGGCUGUGCAGAUAAGGACGCUGGGCUGCUGCCAGUGCAGGGGGUCUGGCCUGCAGGGGGCUUGCUGGCUGGUUGUUGAUGACGUGUCCUCAUGAGCUACGUGUGAUCAUAGCCAACAUGUUCACAGUGGGCACUGGCCGAGGGAGCUGCAUGGAAACGCUCUGUGACCUGGGUUGAUACGUGGAUACGGCACUGGCGCUGUUAGAUCUCUGAUUCUAUCACUGGACUUGGGAUAGAAUGAGACACAACAAACACGUAUGGGGUCGCCCAGAUGGCACACACACGUUUCCCAGGCGUCUCCGGUCGUCACCUCCGGCUCCUGAAGACACCCCAGAGCCUCAGAGGGGACACGGGAGCCUUGUCAUGUUAACCAGAGACUUCUGGACGCCCCCCGGGGGCAGGGCUGGAGGCUGGGUCGGCCACUGGCCAUUGAUUUAGCCAAUCAUGACUGUGCAAAGAAGCCUCACGAACCCCUGGGAGGAGCUGAUGGCUCCCUUGGAUCCGCGGCUCAGUCGGGGAGAGCUUCUCCGCUGGGGGAACCGGAACCCCUUCACCUGCCGCGAGCCAGGCCCCAACCUCCGCCAGGACAGAGGCCCCUUUAUCUGGGACCCCACCCCGUGUAUCUCUUCAUCUGGCUGUUAACAUGUGUCCUUUAUUAAACUGGUAAACUAAGUGUUUUCCUGAGCUCUGUGAGCCGCCCUAGCAAAUUAAUGGAACCUAAGUGGGUGGUCGUGGGAACCUCCAGUCUGCAGCCAACAGGAGAGAAGCACGGAACUGCCUGGGGCUUGGGACCUGCGUCUGGAGUGGGCGGUGGGGGGCAGUCCUGUAGGACGAGCCCAUAACCCGGGGAAUCUGGUGGUGUGUCCGGGCAGACGGCGUCAGAAUUGGAUUGAGUCCCUCAGACACCCUGCUGGCGUUGGAGACUUGCUUGGUGUUGUGUGUGGGAAGACCCCUCCCUCCCACAGAUACACAUGGAAUGGGGUCCAGGUAUCUGAAAAGAAUUGCACUAUUACUGCUGUGUAUAAUACAUUACUAUUAUAUGAAA